UUGACAGCCCCAGAGACUGAAGUCCUCUAUCCACCAAACAUGCACACAUGGGUGGCAGUAGGGCAGGCUUCUUCACAGUAUCCUGCUAAUGUGUUGUCUCCGUUUUGACUUUGCAAGGAUAUCAUCUGGGGAUAAGAGGGUAUUCCAGUGCCCUGUAGUGAAUCAAGCCUUGGCCUCC
rnacentral:sRNA from 1 species